GCAUUUCUUCCCAGCUCUGCUUCUAGGCCACUCCAGCCCAUCAGGAGCCCCCUUGCCUCCUCGAAGGUGAAUGUGUGUAUAAGGCACUUUCAGCCGCGGCUUCUUGGCACAGACAGAACAUCAGCUCCGCCGCAGACGCCGCCUGAGGGAACAGCGCUGCUACCAAACCCUCCCCGUGCUUGUCAAUGGUUUCCUAAUGGACGGCUUCCGCGAGACUCUGUCCUCCAGGUCAGCCGCUGCACGUCCACUCGAGGCUGCUGGAGGCCACGCUCCUGCGCCUUCUUCCCUGCUCCGGAAACGGACACUGGGACUGCGUGAGCCUGGAGGAAGUCGGCCAGACAGGAAGUAAACGCACUUGGGAAGUGCCUGCGAUGGGAAACGCUGCUGACAUAAUGGGAGUUUACACUGCUGGUGUGUCAGAGAACACGGAUUCCUUCCUGGACCCGCAGCCAGUUUGACCCAUGGCUGCAUCUUCUCUGGUCUCUGAUCUGGUUGAUCCAAGUGGUGUUAGACCUACCCCACUCACUGGGAGCCGCAUCAUUGUGAGAUGUCCUCCCAGGUGUCCUGAGCCCCAGAGUAUGAUACAGUACUGGGAUGUGCUUGCAGCUACCCUGGCACCCACCAGCCUGGUCACAGAGCCAAAGAAGAGGAGCCAGGAAAUGCACGACACAGCAUCACCCAGCAGACCCAAGGCUGUCUGGCAGUGGGAGGCUGGAGUGGACAGGAGGAAAAAGCAGGGGAUGCCAUACGAAAGCAGGCUGGAUUUCUCCCUUGAGCACAUGAGAUACCUCCUCCUGCAGACCCCACGAAAAACUCUGGCCGGGGACGGGGUGGUGAAUGUGGAGGGACCUGAAGUCUUGCAUUGGUAGAUGAGAACAAGACCUUGCAAAAUAAGUUAGUGCCAUAAAUGACCUAUGAUAGCAGGUCAAACCACGCUGGGAUUCUGUUCUCCUAACUGCUGGGGGCACCAUGCCUGUUUCUCUCUUGGCUUGCCUUCCCCAGCCACAUUCUCCUUCUAAAACCCUCCCCUCCACAUAAGAACCUCUCCCCCAGCGUCUGCUAGGCAAAGUCAAGCCUGCCCUUUCUACUCCCGUCGCAUCUUUUGAGUGCUCGUGUUCUAAAUGCUUUCCAUGCUUACUGUAAGUUGCUGACAUGUGUCUCCUCCACUAUACUCUGAACAAUUUGUGCUGAUAUUGUAUUUUCUCUGAACUGAGCACCAUAUAAAUGUUUGUUGAAUUACCAACUGGAUUAAAAAAUAUAUGUGUAUGAAAAAUUCUCUAGGUCUGUUUUUGAGGUAGAAAAUAUUGAGAGCCAGUUCUGGUUGAACCACCACCCCAUUUCAUUUGUAGGAUUUUUGCGGGUCCAAUGCUGAACAUUUCUUGUUUCUGCUUCACCAGAAAAUCGCAGUCUCUCUUGUUAUUUUUCUAGACAAGAGGGGAUGUGGCUAGCAAUUGAGGGCAUCUGACUAAGUUUUUUGAUUUAGUGACCUUAAUCUUCAAUGCCAGAAUUAAUCUUUCUUUUGUGAGGACCAUUUAGCUGAGAAAGAGUUAAUACUCACACGACUUUGAGAACAAAUUGCCUCAUUCAGGAAGAAAAAAAACAUUCUCCUAGAAAAUUGGAUGUCACUGGAUUAUUCCCCUUCAGAUCCAUGGAUUAGUGUGUGUGGGGAGGGCAUCCAAGUGGGAAAAAUGCAAUAUCAAUGCAUUUGAGGGCAGCGUCGCCCUUUCACACCACCUCAAUUACGGAUCUCUUCAUCACGAGCGUCAGGUGAUGCGUGUCUUGCUGUCUGCUGCACCUAAGCCUACUACGGAAUGUUUUUUAUUAAAUAUUUGAGAGCUCUUUAGAAUUAGGAUACACUUGCCUCAGCAUUGACUGAAUCAGCUCUCUCACUUUUCUCUUUCACCCGAACACUGGCAAUUCAAGAUUUCUUUAAGAUGAGGAAGACCUUAAAAUAUUAUCCCUUACUUUACGGCCUUAUCGUACGUAAAAAGUAAAUUUUAUGUGGUGAAGAUAAAUGAGCUUGUAAACUAUAUAAACAUGUACUUUUCCUUUAAAAAAAGAUUCACAAUUUAUGAUGUGCAUUGAAAAAGAUAAAUAUUAGGCUUAGCGAGCCAAAGUGCAGUUACUGAAUAUUAAAAGAAAAAGGACCUUUGAGGUAUGAGUGCUCAUUUCCCCUUGAUCAUUUAAAUACCCCUGGAUGCCUUGUAGAGAACUUCUAAAUGCAUUCUUCAUUACUAAUGACAUUUUCAUGAAAGCGGAUAUUUUUUAUUUAACAGUCCAUCUCUCUCUCCUGCAUACUCUCCAUCUUCCAUCACAAAAGGCUGAGGACAAGUGUAAGUUUUCACAAAGUGACUAAUAAAAUAACAGGCCUGGUGGUUAUUUCA
rnacentral:lncRNA from 1 species